rnacentral:rRNA from 1 species
CCUACGGGAGGCUGCAGUGGGGAAUAUUGGACAAUGGGCGAAAGCCUGAUCCAGCCAUGCCGCGUGUGUGAAGAAGGCCUUCGGGUUGUAAAGCACUUUCAGUGGGGAAGAAAGCCUUGGGGCUAAUACCCUCGAGGAAGGACAUCACCCACAGAAGAAGCACCGGCUAACUCCGUGCCAGCAGCCGCGGUAAUACGGAGGGUGCGAGCGUUAAUCGGAAUUACUGGGCGUAAAGCGCGCGUAGGCGGUCUGAUAAGCCGGUUGUGAAAGCCCCGGGCUCAACCUGGGAACGGCAUCCGGAACUGUCAGGCUAGAGUGCAGGAGAGGAAGGUAGAAUUCCCGGUGUAGCGGUGAAAUGCGUAGAGAUCGGGAGGAAUACCAGUGGCGAAGGCGGCCUUCUGGACUGACACUGACGCUGAGGUGCGAAAGCGUGGGUAGCAAACAGGAUUAGAUACCCCUGUAGC